GGCUCCUGAGGAUGUUCAGGAAGAAUGCUCUGCAGCUGGCUCCAGAGCCUGUGGGGAGCAGCAGCCAUCUUUCCAAGGGGCCGAGCCACCUCUCCGUCCCCACUGGCGGUGAAGCAGCUCCCAUCCAGGCCAGAAGGCAGAAGUUCCCAGCCUUCUGGAGAACAAAACCAGCUCCCGGCGCAGGCGCCGAGCUGGGAGAGGCCCCAACCAAGCCCAGAUGGAGCUGGCUCAGGAUGCAGUUUCGCAGACAAGACCCAGGCCAGGAGGGGUUCCGGGCAGGGAGGCUCUGGGGCUUGUUAUGUGGGCAUCAGCAGCCCCAGCAGCCCAGCCCUCAUUCCCAGCAGGGGGCAUCGCCCUGUCCGGUCACUGAGGGUCUUCCAGCCCCCUCAGGCCAGGAGGUAGAAGAUCCCAGUCCGAGCACCAGCAGCUCAGCACGGGACAGCAGCAGUGCCUGGGACUGUAGCAGCAGUGAUGCCGAUGGACGCUGCUGCUUUGUUCCAGGGAACCCCAGGGAUUCAGAGGAGGAGGAAUGAUGAAACUGCUCUCAAGGUCAUCAGAGAGCAGCUCCAUCGCAGAGAAAAGGUACAGCAUGAGGGCAGCAGCUCAGGUUCCUGCAGGCCAUCUACCCCGCAUGUCUUGCUGCACAGGACAGAGGGCAGGACACGCUGGAGCCGCACUGCUGAAAGGCGGCUGUGGUGGAGAGGAUUGUGCACCAUGAAACCAGCCCUUGAGCCUGACCUAGAGUCCCACCUCUUGCAAGCUGCCCUUGGCUCGGUCUUCACCCUGGGCACGGAGAUGGAUGCCAUCGACAUCCAGGCUCUGCACAAAGUCAUGCAAGAGCUCCUGGAUGCCGUGCUGGGAAACCUGCUGGCAGAGUCCCCAGACGCAGACAGACUCCACUACAUCUUGGAAAUCUCAGCAGAGUUCCCUAGCAUGGGUCACCAUGUGGCACAGCUGGCUCUCUUUGUGAGUGACCCAGACAAGGACAUCAGCUGGCAGGCCAGAGAGGGCACUUACCAGCUGUACCAGCUGCUGCUUGAACAGAGGGGGCUGACCAUACACGAGACAGAAGAUCUGUGGUGCCACGACUGGCACCGAGACAGCAGGCUCCUGGGCUAUAAAAACACAGCCAUGGUGGGGGAGGGAACCCCAGGGAUUCAGAGGAGGAGGAAUGAUGAAACUGCUCUCAAUGUCAUCAGAGAGCAUCUCCAGCACAGAGAAAAGGAUGAGGGGCAGCAGCUCAGGUUCCCGCAGGCCAUCUACCCCGCAUGUCUUGCUGCACAGGACAGAGGGCAGGACACCCUGGAGCCUCACUGCUGCAAGGCGGCUGUGGUGGAGAGGAUUGUGGAGCUCAUUGAGGAGCUUCCUAAAGACUCUCCACCCAGUGCCAUCCUCGCCAACUCCUUGGUUGCAGUGGGCAACCUCAGUACCAUGAAACCAGCCCUUGAGCCUGACCUAGAGUCCCACCUCUUGCAAGCUGCCCUUGGCUCAGUCUUCACCCUGGACACGGAGAUGGACGCCAUCGACAUCCAGGCUCUGCACAAAGUCAUGCCAGAGCUCCUGGAUGCCGUGCUGGGGAACCUGCUGGCAGAGUCCCCAGACCGAGACAGGCUCCACUACAUCUUGGAGCAUGUCAACCUCUGGAUCGUGUCCAGGGUGUCCCAGGAGAGAGCCAGGGCCAUUAGGAGCAGCACAGCCCUGCUCAGAUAUGCAGUCACCCUCCCCGAGUUUGACAUCUCAGCAGAGUUCCCUAGGAUGGGUCACCAUGUGGCACAGUUGGCUCUGUUUGUGAGUGACCCAGACAAGGACAUCAGCUGGCAUGACAGGGAGGGAACUUAUUGGCUGUACCAGCUGCUGCUUGAUCAGAGGGGGCUGACCAUACACGAGGCAGGAGAUCUGUGGUGCCACGACUGGCACUGGGCUGUAAAAACACAGCCAGGGUGAGGGAGAAUUCCUCACCCAGCACCCAGUGAGACAGGCUGGUGCUAAAGGUCCCACGUUGGAACCUCGCUAGUUGCUGUGAUUUGAGUGUCUUAUAUGGAGCCGUUGCUACGUGGCAUAAGGAGACUCCCCGGGUGGCUGUGGUGAGAACAUCCAAACCUUGGAACACACCAUAACCCUGUGCCCCCAGACUGGAGUCAAAGGUGAAAUGGGUGAUUUCCACAACAUCACAGAGGAGGCCUUGGAAUGGCUCCUGGAUCUACAAGUGCAUCUACAGAAUGCUGCUCUAUAGACACCAUGUGAGAGAAACUGUGUGAGCUUGUCCUGCCUCCCACAAGCUGAAUUGCUGCAGCAGAAGAAAAGUUUCCUAGGAGUGUCUGUGAUGGGGACUGGGACAUGAAUCUCCUUAUCCUGGUCAGGUUGCAGAUUGGAUUCCCUUUGGCAGAAACCAAGGAGCUGCCCAGGCCAUACCCAGCUACUAGAGAAAUCACUAAUUUGGGGGGAAUAGACCUUUGGUCUGUCAGCUCCUAACCCCUCCCCCGCCCCACCCACACUCCUCUAGCCACUGAGGUGCAAGAGAUCUCGCUGCUGGAAGCAAUACAGGGUCCCCUAUCAUCUCUGUGUGCUGCACAGCAGAGUGGGCCCUGCUCAUCUAUAUUAGAGAUCUAUUUCUAGCCCAUCAUGGCCCCUGCGAUAAAUUGCCCUCCAGAAAGAGCCACUGGAGGCUUUGGUCCAUAAGCAUCUGCCACCUUUUAAUAAAGGGGCUUCCCUGAGCCAUGGGACCCUGAAAGCCUCCUGGGGAAUGAACGGCCUUGGCUACAGCAGCUCUCUUACCCUCCCUUUGGGGCACCAGACACUGAGGCCAUUCUAUCUCCAGGGCUUGGAGGCAGGCUCUGGGCAAUCUGCCAAAGCCUCGUGUCCUGUUGGUUUUAGGUCUUUGGUAAAUUCUUCUCUGAGGGGCAGAGAAAAUAGUUCCUCCAGACAGCAAUGCUGGUGAUCCACGACCCCCUGCUGUGUAUUAGCCAGGCUGGGCUGCUCCUCACAUACUCCAUCCUGGGGGAAGCCCAGCAGCUGAUGGGGGACAAGCUGGAGGAGGACACAGCCAAGGUGAUGUGUCAGCUCCGCAUCAUCUAGCAGUUGCACAAGGUGCCUGAGGUGCUGCAAGGGCUGAGCCUCAUCUGAUGCCCUUAAAGGUUCCCCUCCCAUGUUCAGCAACUCCCGCUCCCUGCUGCAGGGGAGAAUGGAAAGUCCCACUAUUCACUGAGCUGGUCCGUUGUAAUGGACAUACAUGUGUUAGUGGUCCUGUACGGGAUACUAGGACCGUGCUUCGUUAACAAUAAACCUGGCCGAGCGCCUUCACUACUGAA